UUCUCACUACUGCACUUGACUAG
rnacentral:piRNA from 1 species